ACUAUUGUUAGAGGAAAUAAGCCUCGAAAGGAUACUUCAAUCAACGGCCUGCUGGAAGAGUUUGACAAUAUCUCAGUUACACGAUCCAAUUCCCUGAGGAAGGAAAGUCCUCCCACCCACCACCAAGGAAACGCAAACCAUGUGCCGAGACACCAGGAGGAAAAUGGCUAUAUCACGUAUUCCCAGUACUCCAGUGAGUCAGACACUACAACAGACUAUGUCGUGGAAAAAUAUCGAGACAAGACUCUUUACGGGGAAGAGUUAGACAGGUACUACAAAGGCAGCUAUGCCGCCAAGCAGAAUGGACACAUGAUGAAGGUAACUUCCCGGGACAUCUAUUAUUCAGAAGUGACACCCUUGCAGUCAGACCUCUCCAGAUUCGUCCCAGAUUACCAUGCACACCUGGAGACAAAGCCUAAACCGCUGGAAUAUGGUGGCCUAAAGCUGGAGUAUCAGCGGAUCCCCAGUGGAUCCUCCCUGGACUAUAGAGAUCCCUUUCCUUACACCCCGUCCCGAGCAUCGGUGCAGAGUGAGUGCCCCAAGGAGAGGCUGGAGUACAGUGACAGUGAGUGGGGACAUGGCCUGGUCAAGGACGACUAUGACAAGAGGCCAAAGUCAUCCUACGUGGACCCGGCGAGCCCUCAGCCGGCGAUGAGGCAGAGGUCCAGGUCAGGCUCUGGUCUGCAGGAGCCGGCCAUGCCCUAUGGAGCAAGCGCUUUCAAAGCACACCAGCAGGGACAUUCCUACAGCUCCUACACCUACCCCCGCUUGUCUGAAACCGCCGCAGGCAUCCCCAAG